rnacentral:miRNA from 1 species
CUUGCAUUCCACAGAAAUCCUUUUCCCAGGUUGUUCUGUGCCCAAUUUAGUUUAAUCAGGCCCAUCAGUGUGACUAUUAGACUAAAACU